rnacentral:rRNA from 1 species
UACAGAGGGGGCAAGCGUUAUUCGGAAUUAUUGGGCGUAAAGGGCGCGUAGGCGCCUGGCAAGUGGAAGGUGAAAUCCCUCGGCUUAACCGAGGAACUGCCUCCCAAACUGCUUGGCUUGAGACCGGGAGAGGUGAGUGGAAUUCCCAGUGUAGCGGUGAAAUGCGUAGAUAUUGGGAGGAACACCAGUGGCGAAGGCGGCUCACUGGACCGGUACUGACGCUGAUGCGCGAAAGCGUGGGGAGCAAACAGG